rnacentral:rRNA from 1 species
UACGUAGGGGGCGAGCGUUGUCCGGAAUCAUUGGGCGUAAAGAGCUCGUAGGCGGUUCAGCAAGUCGGCUGUGAAAUUCCGAGGCUCAACCUCGGAACUGCAGUCGAUACUGCUGUGACUCGAGUCCGGUAGAGGAGAAUGGAAUUCCCGGUGUAGCGGUGAAAUGCGCAGAUAUCGGGAGGAACACCAGUAGCGAAGGCGGUUCUCUGGGCUCUACCUGACGCUGAGACGCGAAAGCGUGGGGAGCGAACCGG